AAUAGAUACCCGGUAGUCCACGCCGUAAACGUUGGCGCUAGAUGUGGGGACCAUUCCACGGUUUCCGUGUCGUAGCUAACGCAUUAAGCGCCCCGCCUGGGGAGUACGGCCGCAAGGCUAAAACUCAAAGGAAUUGACGGGGGCCCGCACAAGCGGCGGAGCAUGCGGAUUAAUUCGAUGCAACGCGAAGAACCUUACCAAGGCUUGACAUAUACGGGAACGCCCUAGAGAUAGGGAACUCAUUGAUACUCGUAUACAGGUGGUGCAUGGUUGUCGUCAGCUCGUGUCGUGAGAUGUUGGGUUAAGUCCCGCAACGAGCGCAACCCUUGUCACAUGUUGCCAGCACGUAAUGGUGGGGACUCAUGUGAGACUGCCGGGGUCAACUCGGAGGAAGGUGGGGAUGACGUCAAAUCAUCAUGCCCCUUAUGUCUUGGGCUUCACGCAUGCUACAAUGGCCGGUACAGAGGGCUGCGAUACCGCAAGGUGGAGCGAAUCCCAAAAAGCCGGUCUCAGUUCGGA
rnacentral:rRNA from 1 species